rnacentral:rRNA from 1 species
AUGGGGAUGAGCUUUGACGCGGACGAAGCACAGGGGCAGAGUGCGGUGACAAGGGCAGGCCACGCGGACACGAAGGCAGCGGCUCGUCGGGCGUCCGGCUGCCGGCGAGGACGGCUCGCCGGGCGGCUGGACAUGCCAUCCAUGGCAUGCGCGCCAGCACGGGCGCGUCCAGGGGGCUCGCUGCUCACCACCGCAACGUCGCCAGCCGCCAUGCGCGCUGCGCAGCAUUUCCAGCGUACCGCAGCGUCGCCAGCCGUCGUGCACUCCCUGCGCAGGUCGCCAACGCGUGCUCCGCCUUAG